UUUCGCAAUGCCCGAAAGGGUGACGAAGCGACGCCGCGUGCGGGAAGAAGGCCUUCGGGUUGUAAACCGCUGUCGGGAGUUAAGAAGUGCAAGGGUGUUAAUAGUAUCCUUGCUUGACUAAGGCUCCGGAGGAAGCCACGGCUAACUCUGUGCCAGCAGCCGCGGUAAUACAGAGGCGGCAAGCGUUGUUCGGAAUUAUUGGGCGUAAAGAGCACGUAGGCGGCUGUGUAAGUCGGUUGUGAAAGCCUUCCGCUCAACGGGAGAACGGCAUCCGAUACUGCAUGGCUUGAGUGCGGGAGGGGCGAGUGGAACUUCUGGUGGAGCGGUGAAAUGCGUAGAUAUCAGAAGGAACACCGGCGGCGAAGGCGACUCUCUGGCCCGUAACUGACGCUGAGUGUGCGAAAGCUAGGGGAGCAGACGGGAUUAGAUACCCCGGUAGUCCUAGCCGUAAACGAUGGGCACUAAGUAGAGGGGUUUU
rnacentral:rRNA from 1 species